CUUCACAGGUUAACCCGUGGCCUGAGUGAGGAAGGCAAUGUCCUUGCUAGUCACUAUUUGUGGCGACAUCUCCAAAUUGCGUGAAACCCGUCAUACAGCUUCAAGUACCACUUCAAUUGAGAAAUCUUUUGAAGGAACAGAGGUAACUCCUCUUCCCAAAGGUAAAAAGCUUGAAGACACGGUGGCAAUGCGCAGCCAAGCUCCUAAGUAUUUUAAAUAUAAGGAGAAGGUUCAGAGAGCAGACGGAGAUGGGCGGUAAUUAUCGCCGCUUAAGGUGUGCUCCAGCCUCAUUCGAAAGAUUGAG
rnacentral:ncRNA from 1 species